AUGACACUGACAUCAUUUAUUGAAUGAAACGUUCCAAGUCAGUGUUCCGUGUGCCAAACAUCCCGUUUAGACGUGAACCUUGGGGCUGAUGGACAGACAGGUUCUGCCGACAUACGUAAGUACAAAUGUUAUUUCCAAUGUGGUGGUUGCGUGUAUUUCCUCCCUCUAACGGUCUCUAACGGUCUCUAACAGCCAUAACCAUCAGAGCCAUUUGACAGCAGGAGAAUGAGAAGUGGCGGCAACGUCAUGUUAGGAAAUAAGAAAAUGUCCGCAUGACGCAACACGCCAUCAAGCGUUCACAUUCCGCCUCUCCGUGGAAACCGCCAAUCUUUCACAAAGGGAAGUGAGGCGGCUUGGCAACGCUUCCUGUCACAGCUCCAUCAGCCGCGUUGCGUAAUGGCGCCUAUGGCACACUGACCCGUGGGCAUGCCCGCUACACGGGCGCCGCGCUAGGGACUGACCUAUGACCCGUGCCACCAGGCACAGGAUGAUGGUGACGGUGACGAAGGUCCAGUUCCAGUUGUGCUUGCCGUCCACCGUGGCCACGCCGAGGAAGAUGAAGAUGAGUGUCUCGCUCACGCUGCUCCACAUCUUCAGGAAGUACUUGAUGGUGGUGUGCGACUUGUGGGAUAUGUUGGCCUCCACGUAGGGUCGCAUCACCGCCCCGCAGGCUAUCAACCUGGAGGCAGAGGGCAUAUGUGGUAGUAGUGUGUAGCGUGUGUAGCGUGUGUAGCGUGUGUAGCUUUAACGCUAACGAGCCGUGUGUGUCUCCAGGAAGUCCUGUCUUGUAUCCACGACCUCUGCACCUCAAGGUACCCGAUGCCAACAGCACAGACGGCGUAGCAGCAUGAGGAGUCAUCACAACCAGGAUUGGUCGCUUUGCUUCAUCCCACAUCGUCUGGUUUGACUUCCUUUCCCAGCUAAGCUAAGCUAAGCUAAGCUAAGCCCCCCCGUCCCCGUAUUAACAGAGACAGGAUGCGGAGCAGCUGCAAAGGCUUAAUGGGGGGAACCUUUGAUGCACUUCAUUUAUUUUUGUCUCCCUGCCUUUGACAGACAGGCAUUGCGUCGCCGUAGAAUGGAACAGGAAGUGGUUAGCACACACCAAUCAGGACACCACGGUGUUGCGUAAGCGUGCUGACAACAAAUAUGUUCAUUAGCGCGUCUGGAGUGUGUUCACGCUGCUUUCAUUCACCACUGCUCCAUGGAAACGCAGACCCCGCCCACCCCCUGACCCCCCCCCCAAACACACUUCACGCCUGACUACGCUCUGCGUUGGCGGAAAAAGACGCAAGCAGCACGCAAACUCACGCCAUGAUGCCGGAGAGGUGGAACAUCUCGGCCGACAGGUAGGCCAUGUAGCUAUACACGAAGACGAAGAGCGGCUCGAUGACGCGCGUGUGGGAGGUGAAGCGCGAGGUGAAGGCCGCCAGGACGCCGUAGAUGGCCCCCACCAGGACGCCGCCGAGCGCCACCACCAGGAAGGAGAUGAUGCCCAGCACGCCGUCCAUCACCGUCACCGUGCCGACGCCAGAGUACUCCUCAAAAAGGUGGUACAAGACCUAGAGAGAAGAAAGCAAAGCUGAGCUGCAUUGGGGUGGGCCGCCACCACCGCCACCGCCACCACCACCGCCGCCAGGCUGCUCACCACGGUGACGGCAUCGUUGAGCAACGAUUCGCCAAAGACCAGAAUGUGCAGCAGUUCGUUGAUGUGGAUCUCCUCAAAGACGGCCAGCACGGCCACGGGGUCCACGGCCGAGAUGAUGGAGCCGAAGAGCAGGCAAGGCAGGAGCUCCAGCGUGUGCAGGUCCGACGGAUUGUUGGGCUGGAUCUGGCACACGGCGUACAGCAGCCCGCCGAUGAAGAAGGAGUUCCACAGCGUCCCCACCACGGCGAACAUGAGGAUGGUGCCCAGGUUCUCCAUGAAGGGGCGGAUGGGCAGGAAGUAGCCGGCAUCCAGGAUGAUGGGCGGAAGCAGGCAGAAGAAGAAGAGGUUGGAGUCCAGCACGGGCGGGACCUCCCGUCCGGCCACUUUAAUCAGCCCCCCGACCAGCAGGCCCACCACGAUCAGCAGGCAGCUUUCCGGCACGAUGCCGGGCAGGCGAGGAACCAGGUGGAAACCUGAGAAGAUCAGACAAGUCAUAGAAGAUAGCGUCAGGCCUGAUGUUUAGCUGGCUGCAGCUCCUCUGUCCUGCCGUCUGCAUUGUGCUAGCAGCUACGUCACACGGAAGAGGCCCACAUCUUGCUGAGCUUGUCUCGCUAGUCCGCGUCUUGGCAGCAGCGAUGUCGCUUAAGGCUAACUCCGUGUACACAAGAACAUGUUUACCAUUCAUUAUCAUCCAUAUAGGCUAGCUAUUAUCAUCCAUAUAGGCUAGCUAUUAUUAUCCAUAUAGGCUAGCUAUCUAUUAUUAUCCAUAUAGGCUAGCUAUCUAUUAUUAUCCAUAUAGGCUAGCUAUUAUUAUCCAUAUAGGGUAUAUAUUAUCAUCCAUAUAGGGUAUAUAUUAUCAUCCAUAUAGGGUAUAUAUUAUCAUCCAUAUAGGGUAUAUAUUAUUAUCCAUAUAGGGUAUCUAUUAUUAUCCAUAUAGGGUAUAUAUUAUUAUCCAUAUAGGGUAUAUAUUAUUAUCCAUAUAGGGUAUCUAUAGACAUCCCACACAGGCAUGGAUGGUCAUGGACGUGUAACCCACAUAGAAGUUAUGCAUCCUUGGAAAAUAAUGAAAAUAUAUUUUAUAAUAAAAUGAUUAAAUAUUUAUAUAAUAUAAAAAUAUUCCCCGGUCUUUUAUAACGUCUGUGAAUGCAACCCAGUCACAUGACGGAAGACGGAACGUCUCAGCCAAUCAGGUUCGCCAGGGCCGCAAUCAAAUACACCGGUGCGCUCUCCCUCACACACGCCGGUGAGGAGACAGGCUACAGGACGCUGCUAACACGAAGCCGCGUACCGUCGCUGCGGACAUCCGGGUUCUAGCGGGGACUGAAUUACGAGGGGAAUUGGCCAGGUGUGGGCGGUUGGGGACAACCCCCAUGCUACGAGGCGAGCUAGACCCAAAGGGAACCGAACCACUUCAACAUCCUCCUGCGGUCUGGUAGGGGUGUUGGCAGCCAGUUCUCUCCCACCUAUGCACUGGUCACUUUAUCUGUUCACAUAGGAACUCUGUUGCGCGCGAUCCUGGACAAUUUCCACAUAUACCAUGGACUCUGGGUCUCUAUGAGAUGGACAUUGGCUCCACACAUUGUUGUGGCCACUGACCCUUUAUUGUGAAUACUGUGAUUUUGUGCUUUGUGUGAUCUUAAGGGCAUUUACACCCUGGACUGUGCUGAACCACUGUUGAAUUGUGAUUUCUUUAUUUGUAAGAACCAAAUGAACUAGAUUGAAAGACUGAAGUGCACUUCAUCAAACAGCUAUAGGAAUUCCCAAAACCUCUAUACCAUUUUACUGCCGUUUGUAAAUAUUGUAAAUAAUUUGUCACUGUUUGCACUUAAACCAAAUAAUAACGCACCAAGCCACUUAAAAGUACAUUUAGUGUCUUCUGUGAUAUUACUGUACCUCAACCUCCCUAGAGCCGAGCAUAGAUCUUCUGAGCUAGUCCAUACUUCUAUUUAAUUCAUCUUUACCUUUUCUUGCAUUUCUCAUAUAUGCUACAUACGCCUCAGCCCAAAACACCAUCACUCCUGCCCACUCCAGCAGAACACAAGUGCAGACAGGCCAAAAGCACACACAUGCGCACACACGCACACACACACACACAC